rfam:Trichinella nativa scaffold301s, whole genome shotgun sequence.
CCAACGGUCCUUUUCAGGACCACAAUUAUUUUUGCUGAAAUCAAUA